UACGUAGGCAGCAAGCGUUGUUCGGAAUUACUGGGCGUAAAGGGCUCGUAGGUGGCCAACUAAGUCGGACGUGAAAUCCCUCGGCUUAACCGGGGAACUGCGUCUGAUACUGGAUGGCUUGAGUUCGGGAGAGGGAUGCGGAAUUCCAGGUGUAGCGGUGAAAUGCGUAGAUAUGCGGAGGAACACCGAUGGCGAAGGCAAUCCCCUGGGCCUGUACUGACGCUCAUGCACGAAAGCGUGGGGAGCAAACAGG
rnacentral:rRNA from 1 species